AACGAACGCUGGCGGCAUGCCUAACACAUGCAAGUCGAACGAACCCUUCGGGUCUAGUGGCGCACGGGUGCGUAACGCGUGGGAAUCUGCCCUUUGGUUCGGAAUAACUCUCCGAAAUGGGUGCUAAUACCGGAUAAUGUCUUCGGACCAAAGAUUUAUCGCCAUUGGAUGGGCCCGCGUUGGAUUAGCUAGUUGGUAGGGUAAAAGCCUACCAAGGCGACGAUCCUUAGCUGGUCUGAGAGGAUGAUCAGCCACACUGGGACUGGGACACGGCCCAGACUCCUACGGGAGGGAGCAGUGGGGAAUAUUGGACAAUGGACGAAAGCCUGAGCAAGCAAGGCCGCGUGAGUGAUGAAGGCAUUAGGGUUGUAAAGCGCUUUUAACAGGGAUGAUAAUGACAGUACCGGGAGAAUAAGCUCCGGCUAACUCCGUG
rnacentral:rRNA from 1 species